rnacentral:pre_miRNA from 1 species
UGUGGAACUGCUGGGUCAUAUGGUAAUUCUUUGUUUAACUUUUUGAGAAACUGCCAAAUUGCUUUCCAAAGUGGCUGCACCAUUUUACAUUUCCGCCAGCAAU